CCCUUAGAUGUUCUGGGCCGCACGCGCGCUACACUGAUGCAUUCAACGAGUCUAAAACCUGCUCUGAUAGGGGUGGGUAAUCUUUUGAAUGUGCAGCGUGAUUGGGAUAGAUGAUUGCAAUUUUUCAUCUUCAACGAGGAAUGCCUAGUAAACGCAAGUCAUCAGCUUGCAUUGAUUACGUCCCUGCCCUUUGUACACACCGCCCGUCGCUCCUACCGAUUGAAUGAUCCGAUGAAUAUCAUGGAUUGAGGAUGCAAGUAGGUUAGCCUAUCUUCAUCUUCGAGAAGUGAAGUAAAUCUUAUCAUUUAGAGGAAGGAGAAGUCGUAACA
rnacentral:rRNA from 1 species